rnacentral:misc_RNA from 1 species
GAUGAAGGCCUUUUGGUCAACAAAGAUGUUGUAUUAAUAAGUUCCUCGAUUGCUUUUCAAGGUGCUUAUUUAAAACUCAGAAGUUCAAAUCGUAAUUAGAGGUGCUUAUGGGUGUAUUGGUGCAUCACCUUUCCUUCUCUGGACUCUUUCCUUCUGGACAAACUUGACCUGUUCUCAGAUUUUAUCUUAUGUAGGUGGGUUUUGCACACACAAG